GUAUGGGGGACCUUUGGUA
rnacentral:piRNA from 1 species